UUAAAGCAAAGAUUUUUACAAGUAAAAAUAGGUAUAGUUUCUUGUUUUGGUUUGUGCAUGCUUUUGAAUUAACACGCAAGAGAAAUGUGCACCGCCUGGUGAACUUCAUCUAGGUUCACAAAUUGCAUUACUUCGGAUGGCCCAAGAGAAGUAAUUUGGUAUGAUGCAGUCUAUAGAAAAUGGGCAUGGCUAUGGCUCCCAAUCCGAUCAAGACGUCAACAUCUUCUGAAGUGAGCCGCAGACUGGCCUUGCCUUCCUGGAUCGUUGGAGAUGAACAGACGUACCUUAACCUUAUGUCGGAGCUCAUUGACAGUCUGUUAUAGCAACGGUUGGAAGCUAUAAUCACUACAUUGAUAUGGAUUUGCAAAUUUUUUGUGUGAAGUUGAGACUUCAAUUUUUUUUUGAGGUUUAAAAUGAUUUCAUAUGGAAUAGUCUGUGCAAUUUUCAAUGUAAAAAGGAAACAAUGGUAUGUAACAUGGGUGGUUCGUAAGCAGAUUGUGCUCUAAUCAGGGCUCUACCACUCAGUCGUGGCAGGUGUCCAUUUCUAUGCUGCUGUCUGCUGGGGAGGAAACAUGGCAGAAAGGAACAUCAGGAGGCUGGACAAAAACGGGUCAAGAAGGCUGGUUCAGUUCUUGGGAAGAGACUGGUCUCACUGAUGGUUGUAGUGGUGGAGAGGCACACAUGGAGUAAGCUGUCAUCAUGGACAAUGGCAGCCAUCCUCUCUACCACACCUUGGCAGAACAGAGGAGCAGCUGCAGUAGGGUUCAUUCCGCUGUGCUGUAGGACUGAGCGGUACAGUCAUCCUUUGUCCCCAAAGCCAUCAGAGUACACAACACCUCAGGCGAGGGUAGUGACCUAUUGUGACUUUGUCUUUCUAACCCUCUCCCAGUGCCCACCCACUGCACAAUGUGCAAUUGUGUAAUUAAUCUGACGCUGGUUCUUUUUUAUAUGCAAUUUUAAUAAUGUGCAAUAUUGCUCACUUUUUAUUGACUUAUUUGGAUAAUUUUUUACUGUUUGUACAUUUUGUUUGACAAUUGAGGCUGACUUUAAGCAUUUGCAAAUUUCCCCAAAUGGAUGAAUAAAGUAUCUACUAUCGAUUCAAUUACGCUAUGAAAUGUCAUCUAAAUCCACAGCACAAUCUCAGGCACAAAUUAUAUCUUGGUUAACCACAAGGAUCAGGCAUUAAGCCGUGAGGACAAUGUUUCGUGCUGUGAUACUCAAAAAAGUGUCUGAGCUUAGGCCUACUUAUUGGUCUUCUAGCGGCCCUCGCUGGGGUUGUCUCCCGAAUAGCUUUGCAAUCUGACUGCCUGAAUUGGACUAAAUCUAACUGUAAAUCCUAGUACAUUAUAGGAAUCUUAUAAAUGUAUAACAUUUAUUUUAUUACACAGGGUUAAAAUGCGGCGACAAUGAGCACAGUUAGAGGGUAGUGCGCUAGAGGGCAGUGU